rnacentral:lncRNA from 1 species
CACUGAUGCAUCUACAAGUCAAAGAAUGUCAAGGAUUUCAGCAACCACCGGAAGUUAGGAAGAGGCAAGUAAGGAUCCUCUCGUGAAACCUUCAGAGUAUGACUCUGCUUACGCCUUGAUUUUGUACUUCUCAGCUCCAGAACUCUUGAGACCUUUGGACCGAUUUCAGCUGAAUUGAUAGAAACCACAUUGAAGUUGCAU